AGCGGUAGAGGAGCGUCGUGUAAGCCGAUGAAGGUGUGUUGAGAAGCAUGCUGGAGGUAUCACGAGUGCGAAUGCUGACAUGAGUAACGACAAGGGGAGUGAAAAACUCCCCCGCCGGAAGACCAAGGGUUUCUGUUCGACGCUAAUCGGAGCAGAGUGAGUCGGCCCCUAAGGCGAGGCCGAAAGGCGUAGUCGAUGGGAAACGGGUCAAUAUUCCCGUACCUCACAGUAUUGCGAUGGGGGGACGAAGAAGGCUAGGUGAGCCAGGCGUUGGUUGUCCUGGUGAAAGCCAGUAGGCUGAGGGUUCAGGAAAAUCCGGACCCUUAAGGCCGAGAGGCGAGACGAACUGACUACGGUCAGGAAGUCAUCGAUGCCACGCUUCCAGGAAAAGCCUCUAAGCUUCAGAUACUGUGGGACCGUACCCCAAACCGACACAGGUGGUCAGGUAGAGAAUACCAAGGCGCUUGAGAGAACUCGGGUGAAGGAACUAGGCAAAAUGGUGCCGUAACUUCGGGAGAAGGCACGCCGCAUUAGGGUGAAGGUCCUCGCGACCGGAGCCUGACGCGGUCGAAGAUACCAGGUGGCUGCAACUGUUUAUUAAAAACACAGCACUCUGCAAACGCGCAAGCGGACGUAUAGGGUGUGACGCCUGCCCGGUGCCGGAAGGUUAAGUGAUGGUGUUAGCUCACGCGAAGCUCCUGAUCGAAGCCCCGGUAAACGGCGGCCGUAACUAUAACGGUCCUAAGGUAGCGAAAUUCCUUGUCGGGUAAGUUCCGACCUGCACGAAUGGCGUAAUGAUGGCCACGCUGUCUCCACCCGAGACUCAGUGAAAUUGAAAUCGCAGUGAAGAUGCUGUGUACCCGCGGCUAGACGGAAAGACCCCGUGAACCUUUACUACAGCUUCACACUGGACGCUGAUGUUGCUUGUGUAGGAUAGCUGGGAGGCUUUGAAACCCUGUCGCCAGAUGGGGUGGAGCCAACCUUGAAAUACCAGCCUGGCAUCAUUGGCGUUCUAACUCAGGACCGUAAUCCGGUUCGAGGACCGUGUGUGGUGGGUAGUUUGACUGGGGCGGUCUCCUCCCAAAGAGUAACGGAGGAGCACGAAGGUACCCUCAGCACGGUUGGAAAUCGUGCAUUGAGUGCAAGAGCAUAAGGGUGCUUAACUGCGAGACAGACACGUCGAGCAGGUACGAAAGUAGGUUCUAGUGAUCCGGUGGUUCUGUAUGGAAGGGCCAUCGCUCAACGGAUAAAAGGUACUCCGGGGAUAACAGGCUGAUACCGCCCAAGAGUUCACAUCGACGGCGGUGUUUGGCACCUCGAUGUCGGCUCAUCACAUCCUGGGGCUGAAGUCGGUCCCAAGGGUAUGGCUGUUCGCCAUUUAAAGUGGUACGCGAGCUGGGUUUAGAACGUCGUGAGACAGUUCGGUCCCUAUCUGCCGUGGGCGUUGGAGAUUUGAGAAGUGCUGCUCCUAGUACGAGAGGACCGGAGUGGACGUACCUCUGGUGUUCCGGUUGUCAUGCCAAUGGCAUUGCCGGGUAGCUAUGUACGGACGGGAUAACCGCUGAAAGCAUCUAAGCGGGAAGCCCCCUUCAAGAUGAGAUCUCCCUGAGGCCUUGAGCCUCCUAAAGGACCCAGCAAGACCAGCUGGUUGAUAGGCCGGGUGUGGAAGCGCUGCAAGGCGUUGAGCUAACCGGUACUAAUGGUCCGUGAGGCUUGACCAU
rnacentral:rRNA from 2 species